rnacentral:rRNA from 1 species
UUAACUGAGAGUUUGAUCCUGGCUCAGGAUAAACGCUGGCGGCGUGCCUAAUACAUGCAAGUCGUACGGAAACACUUCGGGUGUCGAGUGGCGGACGGGUGAGUAAUACGCAGGAAUAUACCCCAAAGUGAGGGAUAACUAUCUGAAAAGAUAGCUAAUACCGCAUGUGAUCUUUGGAUUAAAGCUUUUUAUGAAGCGCUUUGGGAAUAGCCUGUGGCGGAUUAGCUAGUUGGUAAGGUAAAGGCUUACCAAGGCGAUGAUCCGUAGCUGGUUUGAGAGGAUGAUCAGCCACACUGGGACUGAGACACGGCCCAGACUCCUACGGGAGGCAGCAGUAAGGAAUUUUUCGCAAUGGACGAAAGUCUGACGGAGCAACGCCGCGUGCAGGACGAAGGUCUUCGGAUCGUAAACUGCUUUUGUUAGUGACGAAUAUGACGGUAACUAACGAAUAAGGAUCUGCUAACUACGUGCCAGCAGCAGCGGUCAUACGUAGGAUCCAAGCGUUAUCCGGAUUUACUGGGCGUAAAGAGUUGCGUAGGCGGUUAAUUAAGCGAUAUAUGAAAGCGUGUGGCUUAACCAUACAAUUGUCUAUCGAACUGGUUAACUAGAGUCUAGAAGAGGUCACCGGAAUUUUUAGUGGAGGAGUGAAAUCCGUAGAUAUUAGAAGGAACACCGAUGGCGUAGGCAGGUGACUGGUCUAUGACUGACGCUCAGGCACGAAAGCGUGGGUAGCGAACGGGAUUAGAUACCCCGGUAGUCCACGCCGUAAACGAUGGAUGCUAGCUGUCCGAGGUUCAACCCUUUGGGUAGCGUCGCUAACGCUUUAAGCAUCCCGCCUGUGGAGUACGAGCGCAAGCUUAAAACAUAAAGGAAUUGACGGGGACCUGCACAAGCGGUGGAGCGUGUUGUUUAAUUCGAUGAUAAGCGAAGGACCUUACCAAGGUUUGACAUCCUACUAAGUCUUGGGAAACUAAGAUGUGCCUUUUGGCUGUAGUGACAGGUGAUGCAUGGCCGUCGUCAGCUCGUGUCGUGAGAUGUUGGGUUAAGUCCCGCAACGAGCGCAACCCUUAUAUUUAGUUAUAUUUCUCUAAAUAGACUGCCUUGGCAACAGGGAGGAAGGAGGGGAUGAUGUCAGGUCAGUAUUUCCCUUAUAUCUUGGGCAACAAACACGCUACAAUGGUCGGUACAAAGGGUAGCCAACCUGCGAAGGGGAGCAAAUCCCAUCAAAGCCGAUCUCAGUUCGGAUUGUAGGCUGAAACUCGCCUACAUGAAGUCGGAAUCGCUAGUAAUGGUAAGUCAGCACAUUACCGUGAAUAAGUACCCGGGUCUUGUACACACCGCCCGUCAAGCCACGGAAGUCAGGGGCACCCGAAGUAUGUUCAAUAAGAAUGUCCUAAGGUGAAUUUGAUAACUGGGGUUAAGUCGUAACAAGGUAUCCGUAGCGGAAGCUGCGGAUGGAUUACCUCCUUU